rnacentral:rRNA from 1 species
GCGGCGCGCCUAACACAUGCAAGUCGAACGGGGUUCAUCUGAAUGAAGUUUUCGGAUGGAAUUUGGAUGUACCUAGUGGCGAACGGGUGAGUAACACGUGAAUAACCUGCCCUGGAGUGGGGGACAACAGUUGGAAACGACUGCUAAUACCGCAUAAGCCCACAGAGCCGCAUGGCUCAGGGGGAAAAGGAGCAAUUCGCUUCAGGAUGGAUUCGCGUCCAAUUAGCUGGAUGGUGAGGUAACGGCCCACCAUGGCGACGAUUGGUAGCCGGACUGAGAGGUUGAUCGGCCACAUUGGGACUGGGACACGGCCCAGACUCCUACGGGAGGCAGCAGUGGGGAAUAUUGCACAAUGGGGGAAACCCUGAUGCAGCGACGCCGCGUGGAGGAAGAAGGUCUUCGGAUUGUAAACUCCUGUCGUUGGGGACGAUAAUGACGGUACCCAACAAGAAAGCCACGGCUAACUACGUGCCAGCAGCCGCGGUAAAACGUAGGUGGCAAGCGUUGUCCGGAAUUACUGGGUGUAAAGGGAGCGCAGGCGGAAGGACAAGUUGGAAGUGAAACCCACGGGCUCAACCCGUGAACUGCUUUCAAAACUGUUUUUCUUGAGUGGUGUAGAGGUAGGCGGAAUUCCCGGUGUAGCGGUGGAAUGCGUAGAUAUCUGGAAGAACACCAAUGGCGAAGGCAGGUUUCCAGCACAUAACUGACGCUCAGGUGCGAAGGUGCGGGGAUCAAACAGGAUUAGAUACCCUGGUAGUCCGCACAGUAAACGAUGUGCACUAGGUGUCUGGGCAUAAGCCCGGGUGCCAAAGCAAACGCGAUAAGUGCACCGCCUGGGGAGUAUGCCCGCAAGGGUGAAACUCAAAGGAAUUGACGGGGGCCCGCACAUGCGGUGGAGCAUGUGGUUUAAUUCGAUGGUACGCGAGGAACCUUACCUGGGUUUGACAUACAUACCGAUUAUUUAGAGAUAAGUAAGCGUAGCAAUACGGGUAUGAACAGGUGCUGCAUGGCUGUCGUCAGCUCGUGCCGUGAGGUGUUGGGUUAAGUCCCGCAACGAGCGCAACCCCUACUGCCAGUUACUAACAGGUGAAGCUGAGGACUCUGGCGGAACUGCCGGCGACAAGCCGGAGGAAGGCGGGGAUGACGUCAAGUCAUCAUGGCCCUUAUGUCCAGGGCUACACACGUGCUACAAUGGUCGGUACAGAGUGAUGCGAGGCAGUGAUGCGGAGCAAAACGCAGAAAACCGAUCGUAGUCCGGAUUGGAGUCUGAAACCCGACUCCAUGAAGUUGGAAUCGCUAGUAAUCGCACAUCAGCACGGUGCGGUGAAUACGUUCCCGGGCCUUGU